GGAGGCUUCGCCUAGUCUGGUCUAUGGCGCCGCACUGCUAAUGCGGUUUGGGUUAGCGCCCAUCCGGGGUUCAAAUCCCCGAGCCUCCG
rnacentral:tRNA from 1 species